rnacentral:lncRNA from 1 species
GCUUGAUACUUUGAGUAAUGAGUCCAUUUGUUUCUCAGUGUAUGGAAAUAAAGGUUAGUUCCCUAUUUAAUAAUUAUUCUCUAAAGAGUAAAAAAUGUAAUUAUUGUUUGAUAACGUGGAAAUGAACUGUUUUCUGAAGGCUAUGGAAACGGUGGCUAUGGCAGUGCUGGUUUGGGUCUGGGACCUCGGUUUGGAAAUGGGCAGAUGAAGGGUCCAAUGCAAGGAACUGGAGCAGGAGCUGGUGGACAAGGAGAAAAACCCAACGGAUAUGGAGGCCCAAGAGGAGGUCCAAUGAAACCACAACCAGGUGAAGCUCAUACAUCAAUAAUCAUCAUAAAAUAGAUAAAACAUGUUUAAUUGAUUUGAAUGAUGUCUUUGACCAGAUUAUGGAAUUGGAGCCGUUUCCAAUGGAUACGGAGCAAAGCCAAAUGGUUAUGGAGUUCAGAACGGUGGUUAUGGAGGUAAACCUAAUGUUGUUCCAGACUAUGGUGGUCCUGGUCGACCCAGUGGAAAACUGACUAAAGUUAAUCCAGACUAUGGCACGAUAGCAAAUGGGAGGAGUCAGUCUACGAAGGGAAACUACAACAAAGGAGGACCAACCGCAGCACCAGAGGACGCUGCUCCUCAAAGACAAAUAACCGGAGCACAAGUUCCUGUGGCCCCUGAGGCCCCUGAAC